rnacentral:misc_RNA from 1 species
GAUGAAGAACGUAGCGAAAUGCGAUAAGUAAUGCGAAUUGCAGAAUCCGUGAGUCAUCGAAUCUUUGAACGCACAUUGCGCCCUCUGGUAUUCCGGAGGGCAUGCCUGUUCGAGCGUCAUUAUCACCCCUCAAGCCCGGCUUGUUGUUGGAUGCAGCGCUUAUCCCGCUCCUCCCAAAGAUAAUGACGGCGUCUGCGACGACUCCUGUACACUGAGCUUUCGGGCACGUACACGGCUAGAAGUCCAGACCCGGUCGCCGUCCCCCCCCGCGGGGGACACCCAUUACCACAAGGUUGACCUCGGAUCAGGUAGGAAUACCCGCUGAACUUAAGCAUAUCAAUAAGCGGAGGA